CUUUCCCUACGGGGGGCAGCAGUAAGGGAUAUUGGUCAAUGGGGGAAACCCUGAACCAGCAACGCCGCGUUAGGGAAGACGGUUUUCGGAUUGUAAACCUCUGUCCUCUGUGAAGAUGAUGACGGUAGCAGAGGAGGAAGCUCCGGCUAACUACGUGCCAGCAGCCGCGGUAAUACGUAGGGAGCGAGCGUUGUCCGGAUUUACUGGGUGUAAAGGGCGCGUAGGCGGCUUGGCAAGUCAGUAGUGAAAUCCAUGGGCUUAACCCAUGAACUGCUAUUGAAACUGUCGAGAUUGAGUGCAGGAGA
rnacentral:rRNA from 1 species